rnacentral:pre_miRNA from 1 species
AAAGUACUCCCUCCGUCCCAAAAUUCUUGUCUUGGAUUUGUCUAGAUACGGAUGUAUCAAGUCACAUUUUAGUAUUAGAUACAUCCGUAUCUAGACAAAUCUAAGACAAGAAAUAUGGGACAAAGGGAGUAGUUG